rnacentral:rRNA from 1 species
CGGCAGCCCGAGUGGUGAUCACUAUUAUUGGGUCUAAAGGGUCCGUAGCCGGUUUGAUCAGUCUUUUGGGAAAUCUGACAGCUUAGCUGUUAGGCUUCCAAAGGAUACUGUCAGACUUGGGACCGGGAGAGGUAAGAGGUACUACAGGGGUAGGAGUGAAAUCUUGUAAUCCCUGUGGGACCACCAGUGGCGAAGGCGUCUUACCAGAACGGGUCCGACGGUGAGGGACGAAAGCUGGGGGCACGAACCGGAUUAGAUACCCGAGUAGUCC